rnacentral:rRNA from 1 species
CCGGCACGGGUGGAGUAACACGUAUGCAAUCCACCUGUAACAGGGGGAUAACCCGGAGAAAUCGGACUAAUACCGCAUGAAGCAGGGAUCCCGCAUGGGAAUAUUUGCUAAAGAUUCAUCGCUGAUAGAUAGGCAUGCGUUCCAUUAGGCAGUUGGCGGGGUAACGGCCCACCAAACCGACGAUGGAUAGGGGUUCUGAGAGGAAGGUCCCCCACAUUGGUACUGAGACACGGACCAA